AUGGUCCCCAAGAAAGAUGAUUCACUCUGUAUGUGUAUUGACUUCAAGCAUAUCAAUCGGGCCUGCCCGAAAGAUCAUUUUCCUCUCCCUCACAUCGAUCAGAUUGUCGACUCGACUGCGGGGUGUGAGCGUUUGUCCUUUUUGGAUGCAUAUUCCGGGUACCAUAAGAUCCGACUGUAUGGGACCGAUGAAAUAAAAACGACCUUCAUCACCCCUUUCGGGUGUUUUUGCUAUAUCACCAUGCGUUUUGGCCUCAAGAAUGCUGGCGCCACGUUCAUGCGCAUGAUCCAGAAGUGCCUGCUCACUCAAAUAAGUCGAAACGUGGAAGCAUACAUGGACGAUAUCAUGGUCAAGUCGCGCAAGAGCUCCGACCUGUUGACUUACCUUGCCGAAACUUUUGCAAAUCUGAGAAGAUAUGACAUCAAGCUUAAUCCAUCCAAGUGCACAUUCGGAGUCCCGGGAGGGAAGUUACUCGGCUUUCUCGUUUCCGAACGAGGGAUCGACGCUAACCCAGAGAAGAUUGGAGCAAUUCUUCAAAUGAAACGCCCUGUGCGCGUGCAUGAUGUGCAGAAGCUUACAGGUUGUUUGGCUGCAUUGAGUCGGUUCAUUUCUCGUCUCGAUGAAAAGGCACUACCUCUUUACCGACUGAUGAAGAAGUCUGAUACAUUCGAGUGGACCCCUGAAGCUAAAGAAGCGUUUGUAGAGCUCAAAGCCCUGCUUUCCACCCAUCCGGUGCUCGCUGCCCCAGUCAGCAAAGUGCCUCAUUUGUUAUAUAUUGCAGCCACUGGACAAGUUGUCAGCACGGUGCUCACAGUCGAGCGGGAAGAGGAAGGCAAGGCUUACAAAGUUCAACACCAAGUGUAUUAUAUUUCUGAAGUCUUGACUCCGUCCAAGCAAAGGUACCCACAUUAUGAGAAGCUUGUCUAUGGAAUCUACUUGACUAUGAAGAAAGUUGCACAUUACUUUGGAGACCGCUCGGUCACAGUCGUCAGCGGGGCUCCGUUGUCGUAA
rnacentral:rRNA from 1 species